rnacentral:rRNA from 1 species
GGAUUAGAUACCCUGGUAGUCCAUGCCGUAAACGAUGAGUGCUAGACGUUGGGAAUAUAUUUUUCAGUGUCGCAGCGAAAGCAUUAAGCACCCCGCCUGGGGAGUACGAUCGCAAGAUUAAAACUCAAAGGAAUUGACGGGGACCCGCACAAGCAGUGGAGCAUGUGGUUUAAUUCGAAGAUACGCGCAGAACCUUACCAACGCUUGACAUGUUCGUCGCGAGACUAAGAGAUUAGUCUUUUCAGCUCGGCUGGACGAAACACAGGUGCUGCAUGGCUGUCGUCAGCUCGUGCUG